AUGAGAAAACUAGAGAACACUCGAUGUUCAGAGAAUGAUCCACUGAGAAAUAAACUCAGUGACGGAGGCUUGCGAAAGCAACAAGAGGAUCAGAUACAGAGCAGUGUUGCAGAAUUUAUGGAAAAUUGGAGUGAGAUUGAUGGAGGUCGCAAAGAGGGCUUAGAGGUUGAUGAAGGUGAAGAAGAAAGGGAGAGCAAGAAGAUAGAGAUUUCAGAGUUUUUUUUCCUGUUGUUUGAGCAGAGAGAAAGGAGCUUCAGAUUCUUUUGA